rnacentral:rRNA from 1 species
UCAGACGAUGCGUCAUGUAUAUCAAUAAGCGGAGGAAAAGAAAAUAACAAUGAUUUCCCUAGUAACGGCGAGUGAACAGGAAAGAGCUCAAAGUUGGAACCUGCUUGACUUAGUUAAGCCGGAUCGUAAACUGUAGAAACGUUUUCUAGGCAAGCCGAGUUAAAAAGUCCUUUGGAACAGGGGCAUCAUAGAGGGUGAGAAUCCCGUCUUUGACUCGAGUAUUUUGUCUUUUUAUGAUACGUUUUCCAAGAGUCAGGUUGUUUGGGAAUGCAGUCCUAAAUGGGUGGUAAAUUUCAUCUAAAGCUAAAUAUUUGCGAGAGACCGAUAGCGAACAAGUACCGUGAGGGAAAGAUGAAAAGAACUUUGAAAAGAGAGUUAAACAGUACGUGAAAUUGUCAAAGAGGGAAGCGUUUGACACCAGUGUUGUUUUCUCGAAAAUCAAUUAAAAAGAGUUAGAUUUUGUUGUGUAUUGACCUUAACAGCUUGCAUUUCAAUUUUCUUGCUUUUUUUAAUGCACUUUUCGUUUAACAAGUCAACAUCAGUUUCUUUUGUUGUAAAAAGGUCAUUGGAAGGUGGCUUUCUUUUCGGAGAAAGUGUUUAUAGCCUUUGACUCCUGCAAUCGGAGAGACUGAGGUCUGCAGCGUAGAUCCUUCGGGGUUAGAUACAUUUGUGCUAAGUUAUAGCUUUUUAUAGACAACUUGUUGACUAUGAUUAGUCUUGUAGCUUACUCGCUUAUGCUAUUUUACCUACGCUUAGGAUGUUGAGUCGUAGAGCACGCAG